CUAGCUGUAAACGAUGGAUACUAGGCGUUGAGAGUAUCGACCCUCUCAGUGUCGUAGCCAACGCGUUAAGUAUCCCGCCUGGGGAGUACGCGCGCAAGCGUGAAACUCAAAGGAAUUGACGGGGGCCCGCACAAGCGGUGGAGUAUGUGGUCUAAUUCGAUGCAACGCGAAGAACCUUACCAGGGCUUGACAUGUCCGGAACCCUGCCCAAAGGCGGGGGUGCCUACGGGAACCGGAACACAGGUGGUGC
rnacentral:rRNA from 1 species